GGUCGCUUAGCUCAGUUGGUUAGAGCGUGGUGCUAAUACAAGAUCUUGUAUGAUACGCCAAGGUCGCGAGUUCGACCCUCGUAGUGACCA
rnacentral:tRNA from 2 species